rnacentral:rRNA from 1 species
GCUCAGAACGAACGUUGGCGGUGUGCCUAAUACAUGCAAGUCGAGCGAGAAAACCGGGGCAACUCGGUGAGUACAGCGGCGGAAGGGUGCGUAAUACAUGGUUAACGUACCCCCCAGAUCGGGAUAACCCUCCGAAAGGUGGGCUAAUACCGGGUAAUGGCAGCGGGUGGCAUCAUUUGCUGCUUAAAGUCGCAAGACGCUGGGGGAGCGGACCAUGGCCUAUCAGCUAGUUGGCGGGGUAACGGCCCACCAAGGCGAUGACGGGUAGCCGGACUGAGAGGUUGAACGGCCACACGGGAACUGAGACACGGUCCCGACAUCUACGGAUGGCAGCAGUAGGGAAUCUUGCACAAUGGGCGAAAGCCUGAUGCAGCGACACCGCGUGGGGGAUGAAGGCCUUCGGGUUGUAAACCCCUUUCAUGAGGGAAGAACACUGACCUAACCUCAGGAAGAAGCACCGGCUAACUCCGUGCCAGCAGCUGCGGUAAUACGGAGAGUGCAAACGUUGUUCGGAUUCACUGGGCGUAAAGGGCACGUAGGCGGCUCGGCAAAUCGGUCGUGGAAUCCCGACGCUUACCGUCGGAACGGCGGCCGAAAAUACCGGGCUCGAGGGCGUGAGGGGUCACUGGAACUCCUGGUGAAGCGGUGAAAUGCGUAGAUAUCAGGAGGAACGCCGGAGGCGAAAGCGAGUGACUGGCGCGUUCCUGACGCUGAGGUGCGAAAGCUAGGGGAGCAAACAGGAUUAGAUACCCUGGUAGUCCUAGCCGUAAACGAUGGACACUGAGUGAAGGAGGGCUUGCCCUUCUUUGCUGCAGCUAACGCGUUAAGUGUCCCGCCUGACGAGUA